AUUUCCAUGAUGUAAUGGAUAGCACUCUGGACUUUGAAUUCAACGAUCCCAGUUCAAAUCUCGAUGGAAACU